AACGCACGAGACCUGCGGACCUGCGGAAGGAUCAUUACCGUGCCGCGGGGCGCGUUCACGCGUGUCCCCGCAACCGGCCACCCGUGCUUACCUGACCUUCUGUUGCCUCGGCGGGCCCGCUCCCCGUAAGCCCCCUAGUUUUCUAGGGGCUUUAGGGAGCCGUCGGGGGGGUUAUCCUCCCUGGUCCGCGCCCGCCAGAGGACCUCUUUUGAACUCUUAUGAAGCCCCAGUGAAGUCUGA
rnacentral:misc_RNA from 1 species